GAUGAACGCUGGCGGCGUGCUUAACACAUGCAAGUCGAACGGGAUCCAAGGAGCGUUUUUCGUUUUUUGGUGAGAGUGGCGAACGGGUGAGUAACACGUGAGUAACCUGUCCUUUUCUUUGGGAUAAGCUCCUGAAAGGGUGUUUAAUACCUUAUGUUCUGUCUGCCUCGCAUGGGGUGGGUGGGAAAGAUUUUUUCGGUGAAGGGUGGGCUCGCGGUCUAUCAGCUUGUUGGUGGGGUGAUGGCUUACCAAGGCUUUGACGGGUAGCCGGCCUGAGAGGGUGGUCGGUCACAUUGGGACUGAGAUACGGCCCAGACUCCUGCGGGAGGCAGCAGUGGGGGAUAUUGCACAAUGGGCGCAAGCCUGAUGCAGCGACGCCGCGUGGGGGAUGAAGGCCUUCGGGUUGUAAACUUCUUUUGCUCUGAAAAAGGCGCAUCUUUGGGGUGUGUUGAGUGUAGGGGUUGAUUAGCGCCGGCUAACUACGUG
rnacentral:rRNA from 1 species